rnacentral:lncRNA from 1 species
AAUGGCAGGAGACACCAUGAGAUGUUUUCUACUGUAGAAACUUUCUCAUUAGAAAUAGCCCAUUUAUACAGGGGACUGGCUAAUGUUUUUCUAUGAGUAUCAUUAGCCAGUGUCUCAAAGUGGUGAAGAGUAAGUAUAUAGCAUCUUUCAAAAGUCACUUAUUGGUAUCUCCUCCAGUCCCAGAAGGAGGAGUUGAGGCCGACAUUGGACAAACAAAGCCUUAAUUUAAAAGCAGGGACUGCAACCUGGAACAAGGAGAGACAAAGGGAAGGAGGAGUCUGGAGCCAUAUUGAAGAUGAAAUUGAGAUAUGGACUAGGUGGUGGAUCGUUUUUAUAAGAGGACAUAAAAGAGGAUGCUAAAGCUAAUUGCCACAAUCAGAACUCAAAGACCUAGCAAAUGCAAGGUGGUAUUUAUUCUAAACUCAGCAAAGUAGUAGAAAAAUAGUUUUGAGAACAGUUUUAAGGAGACUAGGGUAACAGUGAGAAAAUAGUUCAUGGCUAGUCUGGACUUAGGACUUUAGGGUCGGCCUGGUGAAUUGAAGGGAAGCAGCUGAUACA